rnacentral:rRNA from 1 species
AUUGAACGCUGGCGGCAGGCCUAACACAUGCAAGUCGAACGGUAGCACAGAGAGCUUGCUCUCGGGUGACGAGUGGCGGACGGAUGAGUAAUGUCUGGGAAACUGCCCGCUGGAGGGGGAUAACUACUGGAAACGCUAGCUAAUACCGCAUAACGUCGCAAGACCAAAGUGGGGGACCGUCGGGCCGCACCACAUCGGCCGUGCUCAGAUGGGAUUAGCUAGUAGGUGGGGUGAUGGCUCACCUAGGCGACGAUCCCUAGCUGGGCUGAGAGGAAAACCAGCCACACUGGAACUGAGACACGGUCCAGACUCCUACGGGAGGCAGCAGUGGGGAAUAUCGCACAAUGGGUGCAAGCCUGAUGCAGCCAUGCCGCGUGUAUGAAGAAGGCCUUCGGGUUGUAAAGUACUUUCAGCGGGGAGGAAGGCGGUGAAGUUAAUAACUUCACCGAUUGAAGUUACCCGCAGAAGAAGCACCGGCUAACUUCGUGCCAGCAGCCGCCGUAA